CUCCUACGGGAGGCAGCAGUGGGGAAUAUUGCACAAUGGGCGGAAGCCUGAUGCAGCAACGCCGCGUGCGGGAUGACGGCCUUCGGGUUGUAAACCGCUUUCGCCUGUGACGAAGCGUGAGUGACGGUAAUGGGUAAAGAAGCACCGGCUAACUACGUGCCAGCAGCCGCGGUGAUACGUAGGGUGCGAGCGUUGUCCGGAUUUAUUGGGCGUAAAGGGCUCGUAGGUGGUUGAUCGCGUCGGAAGUGUAAUCUUGGGGCUUAACCCUGAGCGUGCUUUCGAUACGGGUUGACUUGAGGAAGGUAGGGGAGAAUGGAAUUCCUGGUGGAGCGGUGGAAUGCGCAGAUAUCAGGAGGAACACCAGCGGCGAAGGCGGUUCUCUGGGCCUUUCCUGACGCUGAGGAGCGAAAGCGUGGGGAGCGAACAGGCUUAGAUACCCUGGUAGUCCACGCUGUAAACGGUGGGUACUAGGUGUGGGGUCCAUUCCACGGGUUCCGUGCCGUAGCUAACGCUUUAAGUACCCCGCCUGGGGAGUACGGCCGCAAGGCUAAAACUCAAAGGAAUUGACGGGGCCCCGCACAAGCGGCGGAGCAUGCGGAUUAAUUCGAUGCAACGCGUAGAACCUUACCUGGGUUUGACAUGGAUCGGGAGCGCUCAGAGAUGGGUGUGCCUCUUUUGGGGUCGGUUCACAGGUGGUGCAUGGCUGUCGUCAGCUCGUGUCGUGAGAUGUUGGGUUAAGUCCCGCAACGAGCGCAACCCUUGUCAUUAGUUGCUACGAAAGGGCACUCUAAUGAGACUGCCGGUGACAAACCGGAGGAAGGUGGGGAUGACGUCAGGUCCUCAUGGCCCUUAUGGGUAGGGCUACACACGUCAUACAAUGGCCGGUACAGAGGGCUGCCAACCCGCGAGGGGGAGCCAAUCCCAGAAAACCGGUCGUAGUCCGGAUCGCAGUCUGCAACUCGACUGCGUGAAGUCGGAAUCGCUAGUAAUCGCGGAUCAGAAUGCCGCGGUGAAUACGUUCCCGGGCCUUGUACACACCGCCCGU
rnacentral:rRNA from 1 species